AGCACCGGCUAACUCCGUGCCAGCAGCCGCGGUAAUACGGAGGGUGCAAGCGUUAAUCAGAAUUACUGGGCGUAAAGAGCACGUAGGUGGAUUUUUAAGUUAGAUGUGAAAUCCCUGGGCUCAACCUAGGAACUGCAUUUAAAACUAAUUAUCUAGAGUAUCGUAGAGGGAGGUAGAAUUCCAGGUGUAGCGGUGAAAUGCGUAGAUAUCUGGAGGAAUACCCGUGGCGAAAGCGACCUCCUAGACGAAUACUGACGCUGAGGUGCGAAAGCAUGGGUAGCAAACAGGAUUAGAUACCCUGGUAGUCCAUGCCGUAAACGAUGUCGACUUGGAGGUUGUUUCCUUGAGAAAUGACUUCCGAAGCUAACGCAUUAAGUCGACCGCCUGGGAAGUACGGUCGCAAGGCUAAAACUCAAAUGAAUUGACGGGGGCCCGCACAAGCGGUGGAGCA
rnacentral:rRNA from 2 species